UGGAGGAAAGACCAUGUGAGAACACAGGGUGCAGACAGCCGUCUACGUGCCCACAGAAGGCUCAGAAGCAGCUAGCCCUGCUCACACCUUGUCCCUGGACUUCGGACUCCAGGCUGUGAGGCGAGAGAAACCUGAUUCCAGG